rnacentral:rRNA from 1 species
GCAUAUCCAUAGCGAGAAAAGAAAACCAACCGGGAUUGCCUCAGUAACGGCGAGUGAAGCGGCAAGAGCUCAAAUUUGAAAGCUGGCCCCUCCGGGGUCCGCGUUGUAAUUUGCAGAGGAUGCUUUGGGUGCGGCCCCCGUCUAAGUGCCCUGGAACGGGCCGUCAGAGAGGGUGAGAAUCCCGUCUUGGGCGGGGUGUCCGUGCCCGUGUAAAGCUCCUUCGACGAGUCGAGUUGUUUGGGAAUGCAGCUCUAAAUGGGUGGUAAAUUUCAUCUAAAGCUAAAUACUGGCCGGAGACCGAUAGCGCACAAGUAGAGUGAUCGAAAGAUGAAAAGCACUUUGAAAAGAGAGUUAAACAGCACGUGAAAUUGUUGAAAGGGAAGCGCUUGCGACCAGACUCGCCCUCGGGGUUCAGCCGGCACUCGUGCCGGUGUACUUCCCCGGGGGCGGGCCAGCGUCAGCUUGGGCGGCCGGUCAAAGGCCUCCGGAAUGUAGUGCCCCCCGGGGCACCUUAUAGCCGGAGGUGCAAUGCGGCCAGCCUGGGCUGAGGAACGCGCUUCGGCACGGACGCUGGCAUAAUGGUCGCAAACGACCCGUCUUGAAACACGGACCAAGGAGUCUAACAUCUACGCGAGUGUUCGGGUGUCAAACCCGUACGCGCAGUGAAAGCAAACGGAGGUGGGAGCCCCCCCGCGGGGCGCACCAUCGACCGAUCCUGAUGUCUUCGGAUGGAUUUGAGUAAGAGCGUAAAUGUGGGGACCCGAAAGAUGGUGAACUAUGCCUGAAUAGGGCGAAGCCAGAGGAAACUCUGGUGGAGGCUCGCAGCGGUUCUGACGUGCAAAUCGAUCGUCAAAUUUGGGUAUAGGGGCGAAAGACUAAUCGAAACCAUCUAGUAGCUGGAUUCUGCCGAG